GAGUGAAUGGAAAACGUCAUACAGUGGCAAGCACCCCUGUGGCUAUCCCCGUCAACAGUAAAUAUUCCGUACAAGAUGACUUGCAAGAGUUCACCCUCUUGAAAGAUGUUCUGACAUCAGCCCCUGAGACAGAGAUCACAGCGUCAUCAAAUACUGCAGGGAUUUGCACAAGUGUAGUUUUAUUCUCCGUUUCAAAGAGUGCAUGAAAGGCAUCAAGCUCAUCUGGGAGUGAAGCAUCACAGACAAUCAUGAUGUUAGGUUUUGCCUUGUGGGAAGUAAUGGCCUGCAAACACCGCCAGAGCUGAUGUUUUGUCUGAUUCUGUCUCUAACUUCAAUUGGAAUUGUUUUUUCAGUUUUGAAAUAGCUUUUCAAAGGCCGUAGCCGGACGUCUUGUUUAGUGCAAGAUCAUUGGUCUUGAACGCCACAGAUCGAGCCCUCAGCAGACUGCGAAUCUCCUGGUUCAUUCACAGCUUUUGGUUUGGGCAUUCCCAGAACACAAUCAAUGAAAAAAGUACAUAGAAACAAAACUGAGAAUCAAUGUGCAAAAGAAGACAAAUUGUGCAAAUACAAAAACACAUCUUAAUAAGAAGCAUAAGUAGAAAAGUAAAAUAAUAACAUUGAGAACAUGAGUUGUAGAGUCCUCAAAAGUGAGUCCACAGAUUGUGGAAUCAGUUCAGUUUUGAGGUGAGUGAAGUUAUCCACACUGGUUCAAAAGUCUGGUGGUUGAAGGGUAAUAAUUGUUCCUGAACAUCUUGGUGUGGGACCUAAGGUUCCUCUUUCUGUUAAACACAAUUGUGAAAAUAUGAUAUACCUAUAAAAAUGAGUAAACAAUGUAGUUCUAGAUCUAUUGGUUUCCCCUAAUUUCACUUUGAAUGCUUUAAUUGUCUUGAUCUGGAUUUACUACUUGUUUCACUAAUAAUCUUUCGAUCCAUAUUUGCAAACUGACUCAUGUUCUUAUUGCAUUGGACUGCAAAUGAAAGCUAACAGGGCUAUAAAUCAGAAAACAUGUUGCACAGAGUACGUAGCAAUCAUUCUUACAGAAAGCAAAAUACACAGCUGUUCAAUGAGCUACGUUGUUCCAGGCUGAUAUCAGACACUGGCUUCUGCCCAGCUCCUUGCUGGCAGUGUCCUCAGGGAGAUGAACGAAAGGGCUAUUGUACUAAUGAAUUUAUUUCAUUUAUUUCUACUAAGAAUUAUCUGCUUAGUGAUUUUUUGUUUAAAAGAUUUUUAUUUGCAAAUUCUGGUGAAUCCAGUGACUUAUGUUCUACCUAAUUUCUAUUCAAUAUCUCAAUAUAUAACCAAUAUCAAUACAAAUGAAGCAUUAUGGAAAAUUAUUGGUAAAUAUAAUAAAAUGAUUAAUUAUUACACUGUGGAUAUCUGGUCCUAAGAUUUUAUAUUACAUACCCAACGAUAUUUAUAUAAAAUAUUCAUCAAUAUCCAAACCAUCAUUACUUCCUCAACUUUUCGUUAAUAGAGGGCUAGGAUCUUGGCUCAAAGUAUUGACUUUUUAAUUCACUUCCACGGAUGCUGCCUGAUUUGCUGAGUUCCUAUUAUUUUGUGUCUAUUGCUCGACAUUUUCAGCAUCUGCAAAAUCUCUCGUGUUUAAGAGAGAAAUCUUAUUCUCUUUACUAAAUGUGAAACAUGUGCCUAUCGUGUGAUACAUAGCUGUUAGUGCGAUGCUAUUACAGCUCGGGGCAUUGGAUUUCAGAGUUCAUUUCCAAUGCCGUCUAUAAGGACUUUCUGUGUUCCAAGCCAUGAACAAGUGGGUUUUCUCCAGAUGCUUUGGUUUCCUCCCACAGUCCGAAGACGUACCAGUUAGUAGGUUAAUUAGUCAUUGUAAAUUGUCCUUUGAUUAGGCUGGGUUAAAUGGGUGUAUUUCUGGGCUGGAAGGAACUGUUUCAUGCUGUAUCUUCAAAUUAAAAAAUAACUUUUUAAUUACAGGAAACUAAGACUAAGGUGGCUGCUGUUUUUAAAACCUUGUUCUAACAGUGCUGCCAGUAAUGAAGUAUAUAAAAUAGAGCUCACAAGUGAAGUCGCCAACUGUAAUAAUCACUGAUAAACUCUUUAGCUUAAGACAAAGACAAUUCAUCCAGAGCAAAGCUUUACUUUUUCAUUGUCUGUAAAAUAUCCUGACAGAGAAGUUACAAGCACUAGUUCAGCACUUUGGUGUACUGAAUAUCCUGGAUGUAGGUAAUUAAAUGUCCUGCU